GGCUUCGAGAGCUCAGCUAGUAGAGCUCUUGCUGCCUUGAGGCAUGGUUUGUCUGUCGUUGGUUCGAAUCCAGCCGAAGCCC